GCUGUCCUCUACUCACGACUUCCAAUUGACAUUACACAAGCACGUGUACUUCCAACAUCCAGGAGCACAUACAUACAUACAUAUUCGAAAUUGAUUUACUUUUGCUGCAGCCCAAUUCAGCACGCUCAUUUGGACUGGCCAGCAACUGGGCUUGUAAGAGUUGGCCAACAAAACACGCUAGUAAUUAAACGCUGCCGUGUCCCCGGGGUGCAGUUAAUGUUGUGGUGCCAUAAAUUUGACUUUUGCCUGUGUUCCGAUGUCUGUGAAUUGGGUUAUUUACUGCCGAGUGCUGCAUUUGGCAGGUGAAAAGGAAAAGCAGCGAAUCCAAGGCGUUUCCAUAUUCAAUUUGGCACAAGAAGUCCUAUCUCGGCACAGCCAAUGGCAAUCAGUCCACAUUCAUUACCAUGCCACUCCUGUGGCUGCUUUCAAAUCGCCGUUGGACACGUUGGAGCUCUGGUAAUUUCGUCAUUUUGGCCUGGUUGUUGUGGUGGUAAUUUUCCCGCGACUGGGGACUUUACAGCUACGCACUUAAAAGAGGAAAAAAUGAGUUGGACUGGUUUUCCAGCGUGGGGAACUGCACUAUCAACAAGUUUUCUUGUUUUCCUGUUUUCCGCCUGUAAAGUGUAUUCGCCAAGGAGACUCCGGUUCCGCGUCGAAGGAAACGUUACAAGGAUGUGACAGGAGCCUCCCACUAUCAACUACAUGCAAGCAAUAGUUACCCUUACAUGAUUUUGUAUCCGUCCGUC